rnacentral:rRNA from 1 species
GACGAACGCUGGCGGCGUGCUCAACACACGCAAGUCGAACGGUGAACGAGGGAGCUUGCUCCCUCCGGAUCAGUGGCGAACGGGUGAGUAAUACGUGAGCAAUCUGCCCCGCACUCUGGGCUAAGCGUUGGAAACGACGUCUACUACCGGAUACGACGCGGGAGGGCAUCCUCUCCGCGCGGAAAGAACUUCGGUUCGGGAUGAGCUCGCGGCCGAUCAGCUUGUUGGUGAGGUAGCGGCUCACCAAGGCGACGACGGGUAGCCGGCCUGAGAGGGUGACCGGCCGCACGGGAACAGAGACACGGCCCAGACUCCUACGGGAGGCAGCAGUGUGGAAUAUUGCACAAUGGGCGCGAGCGUGAUGCAGCAACGCAGCGUGCGGGACGACGGCCAGCGGGGUGUAAACCUCUUUUAGCAGGGAAGAAGCGAGAGUGACGGUACCUGCAGAAAGAGCACCGGCUAGCUACGU